UACGUAGGGUGCGAGCGUUGUCCGGAAUUAUUGGGCGUAAAGAGCUUGUAGGCGGUCUGUCGCGUCUGCUGUGAAAAUCCGGGGCUCAACCCCGGACUUGCAGUGGGUACGGGCAGACUAGAGUGCGGUAGGGGAGAAUGGAAUUCCUGGUGUAGCGGUGGAAUGCGCAGAUAUCAGGAGGAACACCGAUGGCGAAGGCAGUUCUCUGGGCCGUAACUGACGCUGAGGAGCGAAAGCGUGGGGAGCGAACAGG
rnacentral:rRNA from 1 species